AUUAAUUUAGUGUAUGUAUAGCACGAAAGCUUUUCGUGCUUUCAGUAGUCAAUUAGGCUAAUUAAUA
rnacentral:tRNA from 1 species